rnacentral:lncRNA from 1 species
UCAAAGCUUCGUGACCCUCCACCUCCUUGUUGCAACCCUAAUCCAUCAUCUGCUGCCAUACGUUCAACUUUCAGCGCUUAUCCAACUGUGAGAAAAUUUUGAUAAUAUCAAAUUUCCACAGUUCAUCAACCUCGAUUGAAGCUCGUCUUGGUUUGCCGUUUAUGCCAUCAUUCUCCAUUGAGGCACUCAAGCAGCUUUCUUUGCCCCUUCAAAUGUACUUUCUCUCUCCGAUGAGAAAGAAGAUAUAAAGAAGGCUAUAAGACCGUGGGAGAUGAAAGAUGAAGAGGUGGAAUUCUUUAGGGAAAAUUUGCUGGCACUCAAGCAGACCGAGCUGUCAAGGCAGAAACAAUUGAAGAACUCGAAAGUUGCAGCUUCAGGUUCUUGUUAGACACUUAGACAUCUAUGUUGUUGGAGGGAUUUGAUGGUAAAUAACUUACUCUGUAGAUAAAGGGAUUUUCGGGUGGUUGGUGGCGUGUUGGGUAACAAAUCUAAACGGGUCUGGGUUAUCCGAGCAGUUCUUUGGUUCAGGACAAAAUUGUUUAGGUCGAGUUGACCCAAAACACUUAUUUUGUUGAAAAAUAUGGGUGUGAAAUGGUGAAAAUGUGUUUGAAAGUAUAGUUUCAGUCCAAUACUUUUUUAAGAAACAAACUUUUAAAUCAAGUUGGUAUUUUGUAUUAAAGGAAACAAUUUUUUUUUACUAAAAGUAGCUUUUUUAAAUGCAAUUAAUCAUUUGAUGAAGCUGCAAAUUAUAACUUUAUUUCAGCGACAUGGGGUGAGGUUACGGCUGGUGAGUUAAAUAUGUUGAGGGAGGGGUAGGAUUAUUGGUAUGAAGUUGCUGGUUAGUAUGAAUCUUUUAAGCAUGGGUUCUGUUUGGUUUGGUUUUAGUUUCCAGCAGUUUAGUUUCGGAAUAAACCAUAAACACCCUAGUGGGUAUAGUUAGUUGUAUUUUGUUGCAGGUUAGAUGUGCUAAUAGGUUGCUGAUUGGGGCUGCUAUGGGGAGAAUAGAGGCCAAGACGACUAGGAAGCUGAAGAGAAGAUUAAUGUCUUGUUUUUAUGAGUUUGGUUUAUUUUUUUAUUAUUAUUUCUUUGUUUGGUUUCUUUUAAGAGGUUAAUGGUUCUGGUUCUACCCCUCUUGUAAGGUAAAAGGAAUGUACCAUAUGGACCAAUUUUUUAUGAAUGGGUCGAUUUGGGUUAUUUUUUCUGUAACGGUUCAAAUGUAUUCUUUGUACUUUAUGAAUGUGUCGGUUUGGGUUAUUAUUUCUCCAACGGUUCAAAUGGAUUCUUUGUUCAGCGUGAAUUAUUUUAAGAUCU